AUGAUAGAGAUGAAGGAUUCUCUCUGGUUUAAGUAUUGCAUGUGUCCUUCACCCACUCUUAUUCCGUCUCCCUCUACAGCUUCUUCAGAGAUGUGGCACAGAGCCCUUCAUCUAAAUCCAUUUUCAUCACCUUACCUACCUUUCAAGUUUGCCUUUCCUCCUCAAGAAUCUACUGAACUAAAAACGUGUCCUGCUCGCAGACUGCUGCUUGCCAGAGCCUUUGACUCCUCAGGGGGUGGAGCAAAUGAUUUCCUUCCUGGACAGGGGCAAUCUGUGGUCAGUGUACAAGAGUUGCUGUAGCAACCCCGCAGCUGUGCUCUGCCUAGCAGAAACUCGGUAGGAUAUCAUUGAUUUGGUUCACUUCAGUGAAAAACAGGUGUGUUUGUUUUUUAUUUUAUCAGAAAUUGAAAAAAUGAAAUUGGAAUUCUCUAGUCAAGACAAGUCUUAACUUUGAUGAAACUGUGAAACUAGAAAGCUUGAGUGUUUAAAAUAGCAGGUAUUGUGAGUACUCUAACUCUGGAAAUAGCAGUUGGAAUCUUGAAUUAACUGUCCCUAUGUGGGUCAUUGGCAACCUAGCCAUUUUUACUAGGUUGUAGCUGAAGAUAGGAGGGUUGGAGGGAAACGUUCAGUUUUCAGCAGUAAAAGAUUAGAUACUUAAAAUAGUGAGCUUAGUGAGUGGUGAUGGUGUACUUAAAAGUUUUUGAGAUUUUUAGAUAGCCUUUUUCCUUUAAAAAUACAAUUUUAACUCUGAAAGAGUAGUCUUAAACUGUGAUAAGACAUCAAAAAUUAAAUUAAAAUUUGACUUGCAAUGUGGUGAGAAUCAAACUAAGGGGAAAAGUCUGGUUGGUUAUGCACAAUGAAAGGAGUGCUCACUAUGGCCAAAAAUGUACCAGCUGCCAUUGUUGGUGUAGAGUAAAUAGUGAAACUCCUAAUGGGGUUUCCUGGAACUUUAUUUAGCUGUAACUAAAGCUGUAUGUACUGAGAACAUUUAAUUGUAUGUGAAGUUUAGAUAAGUACAACCUGACUCCCAGAUGUAUAACAAGACAAACCUCCCUAUGGCACAAUAGCAUCUGUGAGGGGGAAAAAAAAACCCUCAAUAUGGGUGCCAUGGUACCUUUUGAUUAAAAUGAAAUAAGGAUAAAUAAAAG
rnacentral:lncRNA from 1 species